rnacentral:snoRNA from 17 species
UUGCCCGAUGAUUAUAAAAAGACGCGUUAUUAAGAGGACUUAUGCUGGAGUUCUUUUCUUUUUUUCUCUCUUUUUCUGUCUUUCUUUUUCUUUCUUUGAAUGUCCAGCGUCCUGUGAGCGAAGAUUAUGAGAUAUGAGGGCAA